rnacentral:rRNA from 1 species
UGGGGAAUAUUGCACAAUGGGCGCAAGCCUGAUGCAGCCAUGCCGCGUGUGUGAAGAAGGCCUUCGGGUUGUAAAGCACUUUCAGCGAGGAGGAAGGUGGUGAACUUAAUACGUUCAUCAAUUGACGUUACUCGCAGAAGAAGCACCGGCUAACUCCGUGCCAGCAGCCGCGGUAAUACGGAGGGUGCAAGCGUUAAUCGGAAUUACUGGGCGUAAAGCGCACGCAGGCGGUUUGUUAAGUCAGAUGUGAAAUCCCCGGGCUCAACCUGGGAACUGCAUUUGAAACUGGCAAGCUAGAGUCUCGUAGAGGGGGGUAGAAUUCCAGGUGUAGCGGUGAAAUGCGUAGAGAUCUGGAGGAAUACCGGUGGCGAAGGCGGCCCCCCUGGACGAAGACUGACGCUCAGGUGCGAAAGCGUGGGGCAGCAAACAGGAUUAGAUACCCUGGUAGUCCACGCUGUAAACGAUGUCGAUUUGGAGGUUGUGCCCCUUGAGGCGUGGCUUCCGGAGCUAACGCGUUAAAUCGACCGCCUGGGGAG